UGCAGUCGAGGGGUAUAUGUCUUCGGAUAUAGAGACCGGCGCACGGGUGCGUAACGCGUAUGCAAUCUGCCUUUCACAGAGGGAUAGCCCAGAGAAAUUUGGAUUAAUACCUCAUAGUAUUAUAGGAUGGCAUCAUUUUAUAAUUAAAGUCACAACGGUGAAAGAUGAGCAUGCGUCCCAUUAGUUAGUUGGUAAGGUAACGGCUUACCAAGACUUCGAUGGGUAGGGGUCCUGAGAGGGAGAUCCCCCACACUGGUACUGAGACACGGACCAGACUCCUACGGGAGGCAGCAGUGAGGAAUAUUGGUCAAUGGGCGCAAGCCUGAACCAGCCAUGCCGCGUGCAGGAUGACGGUCCUAUGGAUUGUAAACUGCUUUUGUACGAGAAGAAACACUCCUACGUGUAGGAGCUUGACGGUAUCGUAAGAAUAAGGAUCGGCUAACUCCGUGCCAGCAGCCGCGGUAAUACGGAGGAUCCAAGCGUUAUCCGGAAUCAUUGGGUUUAAAGGGUCCGUAGGCGGUCUUGUAAGUCAGUGGUGAAAGCCCAUCGCUCAACGAUGGAACGGCCAUUGAUACUGCAGGACUUGAAUUACCAGGAAGUAACUAGAAUAUGUAGUGUAGCGGUGAAAUGCUUAGAGAUUACAUGGAAUACCAAUUGCGAAGGCAGGUUACUACUGGUUUAUUGACGCUGAUGGACGAAAGCGUGGGUAGCGAACAGGAUUAGAUACCCUGGUAGUCCACGCCGUAAACGAUGGAUACUAGCUGUUGGGGGCAACUUCAGUGGCUAAGCGAAAGUGAUAAGUAUCCCACCUGGGGAGUACGUUCGCAAGAAUGAAACUCAAAGGAAUUGACGGGGGCCCGCA
rnacentral:rRNA from 1 species